rnacentral:tRNA from 1 species
GGAAGGUAAGCGAAUGGCUAGCGGCCUCAUUGGAAAUGAGGUGCAUCGAAAGGUGUUGCGGGUUCGACUCCCGUGCCUUCCG